rnacentral:piRNA from 1 species
UGAGAAGAGGAAGGAUGGUAGGAG